AGAGACUAUUCUGGAAGAUGGGCCAGCCAAUCACAGCAGCCCAAUACAUCAAGGAGAAAAUACAGGAGAAUUUAUCUCCAGAAAGGACCAUCAACCUGUUCCACUGUCUGACUGAACUGGGUGACAAUUCUCUAGUAGAGGAAGUACAAAGAUACCUGAAUUCAGGAAACAUUUCAGCAGAUGACCUCUCACCUGCACAGUACUCAGCUCUGGCCUUUGUGAUGCUGAUGUCAGAUGAGGAGCUGGAUGUGUUUGACCUGAAGAAAUACAUCAGAUCAGAUGAAGAGCACUGCAGGCUGCUGCCUGUGGUCAAGAACUCCAGGACGGCUCUGCUGAACAGCUGUGAUCUCAUAGAUAAACACUGUGAAGUGCUGUCUUCAGCUCUAAGAUCAAACUCUUCCCCCCUGAGAGAGCUGGACCUGAGUGACAAUAACCUGAAGGACUCAGGAGUGAAGCUGCUCUCUUCUGCACUGGGGGAUUUACACUGUAAACUGGAGAUAUUGAGGCUGUCAGGCUGUAGAGUCACAGAAGAAGGCUGUUCUUCCCUGGCUUCAGCUUUGAGGUUAAACCCCUCACACCUGAGAGAGCUGGAUCUGAGCUACAAUCACCCUGGAGACUCAGGAGUGAAGCUGCUCUCUGCUGCACUGGGGGAUUUACACUGUAAACUGGAGAUAUUGAGGCUGUCAGGAUGUAGAGUCACAGAAGAAGGCUGUUCUUCCCUGGCUUCAGCUCUGAGGUCAAACCCCUCACACCUGAGAGAGCUGGAUCUGAGCUACAAUCACCCUGGAGACUCAGGAGUGAAGCUGCUCUCUGCUCUACUGGAGGAUCCCAGCUGUAAACUGGAGAAGCUGCAGGUGGGCCGGUGUGAACUCACAGAGAAAUGCUGUGAGGCACUGGCUUCAGCUCUCAGAUCAAACUCCUCAGCCCUGAGAGAGCUGGACCUGAGUGACAAUGACCUGCAGGACUCAGGAGUGAAGCUGCUCUCUGCUGGACUGAGGGAUUCGCACUGUAAACUGGAGAUACUGAGGCUGUCAGGCUGUAGAGUCACAGAAGAAGGCUGUCCUUCCUUGGCUUCAGCUCUGAAGUUAAACCCCUCACACCUGAGAGAGCUGGACCUGAGCUACAAUCACCCAGGAGACUCAGGAGUGAAGCUGCUCUCUGCUGUACUGGAGGAUCCCAGCUGUAAACUGGAGAAGCUGAAUGUGGAUCACAGUGCAGACUGCAGGACCAGACCAGGCUUACAGAAAUGUAAGUGUGUUUGCAUGUUUUUAUUAAUAAUACCAUUAAUACUAUGUUAUGGUUGUUUUCACACAAUUGUUGUGAUGAGUGUGACUGUGUAGAUGGAUUUGCAUGUGUGUUUUUAGGUGAGUUUCAUGUCAUUUUAGACAACAUCCAAUCGAGAAACAAAAUAUCAGAAUCAUCACCAGAAACACUAUCAAUUCAUGUAAUCAUUUAUACUCAUAUUGUCUUUGUGUUUGUGUGGGAGUGUAGGAUGGUUAAAAUGUAUUCUGAUUUAUACAUCUUUACUUUCACAAAAAAAGAAUCCUUUGCAUUUGUUCUUUUUGCGCAUGCCGUGAGUGUACAGUAUGUGUUUUCUAUGUGAGAUUCGUUAGUAUUGUCCUAAGACGGCACCCAUAGGCAGUGACACCGGACUCUCUCCUCAAGUGCAAAAUGUGCAUUUUUACAGGGUGGUUCUGGAACCUUCCUUAAUAUUCAUGAGAGUAUAUUACUGAUUGGUCACUGAAUCCCUUAAACCAGGGGAGGCCAAAUCCAGUCCUGGAGGGCCAGAGUCCUGCACAGAAACCUUGGGAGGGGCCAGACUCAAAGGGGGAGCCCAUCCUCCAGGGGGCAGCAGAGGAAGCCCUAACCCUAACCAGACCCAGAGGGGGAGCCCAUCCUCCAGGGGGCAGCAGAUGAAGCCCUAACCCUAACCAGACUCAGAGGGGGAGCCCAUCCUCCAGGGGGCAGCAGAGGAAGCCCUAACCCUAAGUUCCAAGUCACACUGUCCAAAUCAUAAGAUUUGAGAAAUAACCAGAGAGCAGGGGGGAGAUGACAAGCCGGUGCUGACACUCCCUCCAAUCGCCAGGCAACCAGAAGUAAGGCAGCGGGUCAUACAUGGAAGAUGACACAGGCAGAAUGACGAGCUGGAUGCAGGGACAUCACUGGUAGUGGCAACGUCACAUGUAGCAGGGUGUGCUGGACAUCUUCAUAGAUUGCGAUCUCCAGGCAGCACAGCCCAGGAGGAGGAGGGGAAAUAAAAGCACACAGCUCUUGAGUUG